CCACCUGCUCCACAUGCUGGCAGUUUACACAGUCAAUUAAUUUCCUAUAACAUGUAUGUUCUGCUGUUUCAGUUUAGCAGGCUUUAGAACCCACAUUAAAGAUACUCUGAGAUCUUUAUUUCCUCUCAGGGAAAAAGAAGAAAGUAGAAAUUACAUUUGGUUGGAUGAACACCCAAAUGAGUGCAAGCCUUUGUUUUAGCUGUUUGUGGCAGAGUUGUUGAAGAUGCUACUACAGCUUGGAAAAUUCAUGUAAGAUUCAAGGCCUAAUCAACAAGAAGGAAGAUUUAAUCUUUGAAGCACAGAUUAAUUAAACUUAAGCUAAUGAGCUCGAAGUGAUGUUCAUGUGUUAGAAGAACAGAUUCCUUGUUGGUAGAAUUGCCUUGUUAAGGUUUAGGACAGGACAUGCUUCAGUGAUCUCAGACCUAGAGGGAGGUUAACAAAGCUUGGGAAGAAGGAUAUAGUGCUGAAAGUGGACAUAAAGAAUGCCACAAGGACAUCUGGCAGAAGUCCCAAGAUAAGGAAGAAACUAAUGAAGCCAACUGAGUGACUGUGCUGAAAUCAGCCCUGACUGGUUAAAAGGUAAUUCUGUCGGGGGAGACCGUGAGCACUGACUCACAGACUUCCGACCCAAAAGAAGAGAAAGACUGAGCAUGUGGACUA